AGGAUUUUAAUUAAAAAUGGGACGCUUGAUAUUGGACUAUAGUUGUCCAUUACUGACAUAUCUAGAUUGUGCUUUUUUUAAAGAUUGGCUUGAUGACUGCAGUUUUCAGUGCCUGUGGGAAGAUACCUGAUAGCAGGGAUGUGUUU